UUUUACCCCAGAUUGAAACGGAAAGCAUUUUUCAAAUCAAUCUUAUUUUUUCUUGUCAUAAAAGAGCGACCAACGGAAGCUCCUUUUAUGACUUAGAAAAAAGAGAUUGAUGGGAAAAUCUUGAAGUGUAAAGCUGGAUUAGGU
rfam:Flavobacterium fryxellicola strain DSM 16209 FBFR19, whole genome shotgun sequence.